GAUGAAGAACGUAGCGAAAUGCGAUAAGUAAUGUGAAUUGCAGAAUUCAGUGAAUCAUCGAAUCUUUGAACGCACAUUGCGCCCGCCAGUAUUCUGGCGGGCAUGCCUGUUCGAGCGUCAUUACAACCCUCAGGCCCCCGGGCCUGGCGUUGGGGAUCGGCGGAAGCCCCCUGCGGGCACAACGCCGUCCCCCAAAUACAGUGGCGGUCCCGCCGCAGCUUCCAUUGUGUAGUAGCUAACACCUCGCAACUGGAGAGCGGCGCGGCCACGCCGUAAAACACCCAACUUCUGAAUGUUGACCUCGAAUCAGGUAGGAAUACCCGCUGAACUUAAGCAUAUCAAUAAGCGGAGGA
rnacentral:misc_RNA from 1 species